rnacentral:other from 1 species
GAGCCUCUGCGACGUUGGUGCACGCUGGGCGAUUAUUGAGCCAACACCUUCUUUAAGGGAGCUUUACAGCCAAUGUGGAUGACAUGCCCCAGAAGACGAGGGGAUUUCAGAAGCACUGGUGCGGGCACCCACCUUGUUUUGGAAGGUUCAAUAGAGUCAGCUGCCACGGCGAAGCGGAGGCUCG